GGUUAAGCGACUAAGCGUACACGGUGGAUGCCCUGGCAGUCAGAGGCGAUGAAGGACGUGCUAAUCUGCGAUAAGCGUCGGUAAGGUGAUAUGAACCGUUAUAACCGGCGAUUUCCGAAUGGGGAAACCCAGUGUGAUUCGUCACACUAUCAUUAACUGAAUCCAUAGGUUAAUGAGGCGAACCGGGGGAACUGAAACAUCUAAGUACCCCGAGGAAAAGAAAUCAACCGAGAUUCCCCCAGUAGCGGCGAGCGAACGGGGAGGAGCCCAGAGCCUGAAUCAGUGUGUGUGUUAGUGGAAGCGUCUGGAAAGGCGCGCGAUACAGGGUGACAGCCCCGUACACAAAAAUGCACAUAUUGUGAGCUCGAUGAGUAGGGCGGGACACGUGGUAUCCUGUCUGAAUAUGGGGGGACCAUCCUCCAAGGCUAAAUACUCCUGACUGACCGAUAGUGAACCAGUACCGUGAGGGAAAGGCGAAAAGAACCCCGGCGAGGGGAGUGAAAAAGAACCUGAAACCGUGUACGUACAAGCAGUGGGAGCCUCUUUAUGGGGUGACUGCGUACCUUUUGUAUAAUGGGUCAGCGACUUAUAUUCUGUAGCAAGGUUAACCGAAUAGGGGAGCCGAAGGGAAACCGAGUCUUAACUGGGCGUUAAGUUGCAGGGUAUAGACCCGAAACCCGGUGAUCUAGCCAUGGGCAGGUUGAAGGUUGGGUAACACUAACUGGAGGACCGAACCGACUAAUGUUGAAAAAUUAGCGGAUGACUUGUGGCUGGGGGUGAAAGGCCAAUCAAACCGGGAGAUAGCUGGUUCUCCCCGAAAGCUAUUUAGGUAGCGCCUCGUGAAUUCAUCUCCGGGGGUAGAGCACUGUUUCGGCAAGGGGGUCAUCCCGACUUACCAACCCGAUGCAAACUGCGAAUACCGGAGAAUGUUAUCACGGGAGACACACGGCGGGUGCUAACGUCCGUCGUGAAGAGGGAAACAACCCAGACCGCCAGCUAAGGUCCCAAAGUCAUGGUUAAGUGGGAAACGAUGUGGGAAGGCCCAGACAGCCAGGAUGUUGGCUUAGAAGCAGCCAUCAUUUAAAGAAAGCGUAAUAGCUCACUGGUCGAGUCGGCCUGCGCGGAAGAUGUAACGGGGCUAAACCAUGCACCGAAGCUGCGGCAGCGACACUAAGUGUUGUUGGGUAGGGGAGCGUUCUGUAAGCCUGUGAAGGUGUGCUGUGAGGCAUGCUGGAGGUAUCAGAAGUGCGAAUGCUGACAUAAGUAACGAUAAAGCGGGUGAAAAGCCCGCUCGCCGGAAGACCAAGGGUUCCUGUCCAACGUUAAUCGGGGCAGGGUGAGUCGACCCCUAAGGCGAGGCCGAAAGGCGUAGUCGAUGGGAAACAGGUUAAUAUUCCUGUACUUGGUGUUACUGCGAAGGGGGGACGGAGAAGGCUAUGUUGGCCGGGCGACGGUUGUCCCGGUUUAAGCGUGUAGGCUGGUUUUCCAGGCAAAUCCGGAAAAUCAAGGCUGAGGCGUGAUGACGAGGCACUACGGUGCUGAAGCAACAAAUGCCCUGCUUCCAGGAAAAGCCUCUAAGCAUCAGGUAACAACAAAUCGUACCCCAAACCGACACAGGUGGUCAGGUAGAGAAUACCAAGGCGCUUGAGAGAACUCGGGUGAAGGAACUAGGCAAAAUGGUGCCGUAACUUCGGGAGAAGGCACGCUGAUAUGUAGGUGAAGCGACUUGCUCGUGGAGCUGAAAUCAGUCGAAGAUACCAGCUGGCUGCAACUGUUUAUUAAAAACACAGCACUGUGCAAACACGAAAGUGGACGUAUACGGUGUGACGCCUGCCCGGUGCCGGAAGGUUAAUUGAUGGGGUUAGCGGUAACGCGAAGCUCUUGAUCGAAGCCCCGGUAAACGGCGGCCGUAACUAUAACGGUCCUAAGGUAGCGAAAUUCCUUGUCGGGUAAGUUCCGACCUGCACGAAUGGCGUAAUGAUGGCCAGGCUGUCUCCACCCGAGACUCAGUGAAAUUGAACUCGCUGUGAAGAUGCAGUGUACCCGCGGCAAGACGGAAAGACCCCGUGAACCUUUACUAUAGCUUGACACUGAACAUUGAGCCUUGAUGUGUAGGAUAGGUGGGAGGCUUUGAAGUGUGGACGCCAGUCUGCAUGGAGCCGACCUUGAAAUACCACCCUUUAAUGUUUGAUGUUCUAACGUUGGCCCCUUAUCGGGGUUGCGGACAGUGUCUGGUGGGUAGUUUGACUGGGGCGGUCUCCUCCUAAAGAGUAACGGAGGAGCACGAAGGUUGGCUAAUCCUGGUCGGACAUCAGGAGGUUAGUGCAAUGGCAUAAGCCAGCUUGACUGCGAGCGUGACGGCGCGAGCAGGUGCGAAAGCAGGUCAUAGUGAUCCGGUGGUUCUGAAUGGAAGGGCCAUCGCUCAACGGAUAAAAGGUACUCCGGGGAUAACAGGCUGAUACCGCCCAAGAGUUCAUAUCGACGGCGGUGUUUGGCACCUCGAUGUCGGCUCAUCACAUCCUGGGGCUGAAGUAGGUCCCAAGGGUAUGGCUGUUCGCCAUUUAAAGUGGUACGCGAGCUGGGUUUAGAACGUCGUGAGACAGUUCGGUCCCUAUCUGCCGUGGGCGCUGGAGAACUGAGGGGGGCUGCUCCUAGUACGAGAGGACCGGAGUGGACGCAUCACUGGUGUUCGGGUUGUCAUGCCAAUGGCACUGCCCGGUAGCUAAAUGCGGAAGAGAUAAGUGCUGAAAGCAUCUAAGCACGAAACUUGCCCCGAGAUGAGUUCUCCCUGACCCUUUAAGGGUCCUGAAGGAACGUUGAAGACGACGACGUUGAUAGGCCGGGUGUGUAAGCGCAGCGAUGCGUUGAGCUAACCGGUACUAAUGAACCGUGAGGCUUAACCUU
rnacentral:rRNA from 2 species